ACACUCCUACGGGAGGCAGCAGUGGGGAAUAUUGGACAAUGGGCGCAAGCCUGAUCCAGCCAUGCCGCGUGAGUGAUGAAGGCCCUAGGGUUGUAAAGCUCUUUUGUGCGGGAAGAUAAUGACGGUACCGCAAGAAUAAGCCCCGGCUAACUUCGUGCCAGCAGCCGCGGUAAUACGAAGGGGGCUAGCGUUGCUCGGAAUCACUGGGCGUAAAGGGUGCGUAGGCGGGUCUUUAAGUCAGGGGUGAAAUCCUGGAGCUCAACUCCAGAACUGCCUUUGAUACUGAAGAUCUUGAGUUCGGGAGAGGUGAGUGGAACUGCGAGUGUAGAGGUGAAAUUCGUAGAUAUUCGCAAGAACACCAGUGGCGAAGGCGGCUCACUGGCCCGAUACUGACGCUGAGGCACGAAAGCGUGGGGAGCAAACAGGAUUAGAAACCCUUGUAGUCCCA
rnacentral:rRNA from 1 species